rnacentral:lncRNA from 1 species
GGAGAGCAUGGAUAAACAGGCAUUAAACUGGAGCUGAGGAUGAUGAAUUCAAGAACAAAGGGGGAGAUGUGAACAUUGGAGGAGAAGGUCCCAUGGAUAAACAGGCAUUAAACUGGAGCUGAGGAUGAUGAAUUCAAGAACAAAGGAGGAGAUGUGAACAUUGGAGGAGAAGGUAUAAGAAUUUAAGGCUAAUCAUUUUUGAGUGAUUUAUUUUGCAGGAUUUCAAGACUUCAAGACUCCUAGUUGCGUCUAAGUCAUAGAGUCUGUUUUAGGAGUUUUGAUGUAAUUCUGAGUUUCAUAUUGUAUUUGGAUUACACGCGAGGGGUUCGAUGUUUUGGUGAUGACAUUGAACUUCGUUUUCUCUUUAAAUUGUAAUUUUUGAGUUUGUGUGAGUUUUGUCACGAAAUUGCCAAAGGGGGAGAUUGUUAAGGAUUUUGUAUUGGCAAGUUUCGUGAAGUGAGUCGGAGUCUUGAAGAACCGGUACAUAUCGUCGAAGAUCGAAGAAUUCAAGAUUUCGAAGAAGUUGGAAAAUAACUCACGAUAUGAAUCACGAUGCUCAGGUAAAGUUUUAAUUCAUAUU